GAUGAACGCUAGCGGCAGGCUUAACACAUGCAAGUCGAGGGGCAGCGUGAUGAAGUAGCAAUACAGAUUCGACGGCGACCGGCGCACGGGUGCGUAACGCGUAUGUAACCUACCCUUAACAGGGGGAUAACACUGAGAAAUUGGUACUAAUACCCCAUAAUAGUUUGGAGGGCAUCCUCUGGAUUUGAAAGUUCCGGCGGUUAAGGAUGGACAUGCGUUGUAUUAGCUAGAUGGUGAGGUAACGGCUCACCAUGGCGACGAUACAUAGGGGGACUGAGAGGUUAACCCCCCACAUUGGUACUGAGACACGGCCCAGACUCCUACGGGAGGCAGCAGUGAGGAAUAUUGGUCAAUGGUCGGAAGACUGAACCAGCCAAGUAGCGUGAAGGAUGAAGGUUCUAUGGAUUGUAAACUUCUUUUAUACGGGAAUAAAGCCCACUACGUGUAGUGGUUUGUAUGUACCGUAUGAAUAAGCAUCGGCUAACUCCGUGCCAGCAGCCGACGG
rnacentral:rRNA from 1 species